UCAUGGCCCGGGUAUUGCUCAAAUUUGCUCCUCAUAUAGGAUGUCAUACGGUCAAUGACAUUGAAGACCGUAUUAAGACAAUGUUGACGAAGAGUCAGUACAAGAUGUUUUGUACUAAAAGUAUAUUUGGUUUCUUCAUGAAGAAGAAAGAUUGUGUAGUCCAAGCCCAGUUAGGGAGAUGCAUUAUGUCACUUGAAACUAGGGAAAGUUCUACAAGUGCCAUAGUCAUUCGAGCAAAGGG
rnacentral:lncRNA from 1 species